AGUGAACGCUGGCGGUAGGCCUAACACAUGCAAGUCGAACGGCAGCACAGUAAGAGCUUGCUCUUACGGGUGGCGAGUGGCGGACGGGUGAGGAAUACAUCGGAAUCUACUUUUUCGUGGGGGAUAACGUAGGGAAACUUACGCUAAUACCGCAUACGACCUACGGGUGAAAGCAGGGGAUCUUCGGACCUUGCGCGAUUGAAUGAGCCGAUGUCGGAUUAGCUAGUUGGCGGGGUAAAGGCCCACCAAGGCGACGAUCCGUAGCUGGUCUGAGAGGAUGAUCAGCCACACUGGAACUGAGACACGGUCCAGACUCCUACGGGAGGCAGCAGUGGGGAAUAUUGGACAAUGGGCGCAAGCCUGAUCAAGCCAUACCGCGUGGGUGAAGAAGGCCUUCGGGUUGUAAAGCCCUUUUGUUGGGAAAGAAAAGCAGCAGGUUAAUACCCCGCUGUUCUGACGGUACCCAAAGAAUAAGCACCGGCUAACGUCG
rnacentral:rRNA from 1 species